UCAAAUUGUCCGACAAGUUAAUAAUAAAUUCAUAAAUAGUGAUGAACUACAUUUGAUAUUUCAACGUCAAAAGUUUUAAAAUGUUUUGAUAACAAACAUUCCUAGAAACCGCCACAUGCAUAUACAACAAUCAACAAUUCAAAAUUUAAGGUCUAUAUCUUCAUCAAUGACUCCGUCUUCCAUAUCUUCAUCUAUUCCACCUACAAAAGAGCAUAAAGUGAUAUUCGCAAAAUGGAUUAUGCUCAGACCAAAGAUAAAGAAGCUGCUCUGAGGCAGGAAGAAUCAAAGGACCAAUUAUAGUAAUAUUGAAUUUAUGUGUUCUAACCACAUGCAUUAAUAUAUACUUAGCUCUACUGCUAUCUUUUUUGUUUGACAAAAGUAUAGCAGCAACACCCAUUCUAAACAAACAAUUAGACAAAAGCAUUGCUCUUUCUAGCAAUAUUGGAAGUAAAAUCUUUGAAUUUCCACUCACCUCACUAAUUUAGAUUCACGUGAGGCAAAUCCAUCAAAUACGUUGGCUAGAUAUGCUGAAUCUAGCAAUAUUGGAAGUAGAAUCAUUGAAUCUCCAACAAGGCUAAAGAAAAAUUUUGAAGUUUUAUUCACUUUAGUGUAGGGAAAGUGGUGUUAAGUUGGAGUGGUACUUUGUAUUGGUUUGUCACCAUCCAAACUUGCACAUGUAGUUAGUCCAAGUGGUUUCAGAAGUAGAAUAUUUUACUAAUAUUUGUCGAUAUUAUAUGUAUGGUCCCCAUUUUGUUCUACUUUUCUCUAACACCCUUACAUUAAUUGAUAGUAAAGGACCAAUAUUUAUCUUCAAGCAAAUGACAGUAAACCAUCUGCAUUUCGCUCAAUUCACCAGUCACAUGGAAAAGGACAUUGGAAUGACUCCAUUUUUAUUUUUAUUGAUAUGUUCAAACAAAUGCUAUAUUUUCAGCAUUUUUCUCUUUCUCUUCAUGAGCAGGAAGGUGAAUUAAGAUUUGGAAAAUCAAUAUAUUGGAUUUCAACAUGAGUGAGAUAUUUUUAAAUUUUUUGAAUAAACUUUGACUGUACCAAUCUAUCUCACCUUGAGCUUUAGGACAGAUAAAACGAGAAUCAGACAAUAUAUAUAAAGGAAAAAAUUACUCACAAAUCAAGCUGACUUUGUGACUAUUUUUCGCUUCGACUUUUUAUUUGUACCAGUGAUGUCUCACCUAAAUUAUACUUGCAAAAUAUAUAUUUGAAAUCCUUAGGAGAUCGCUGAUGUGAAGGAUAAUGGAACUCGAAUGAACAAGCUUAGAGAAAACUGCUUGCAAAUAAUCUAGGUUUUUAUACACUCUAAACAAGAAAAACAAAAUCUAAUUGAAUGACUUGUUCAUUCCCAUGGAAAAGAUACAUCACCUGACAGAGAACUAUUAAUUAAGUAGUAGAAACAUGUAGCUAACUAGUAAAUAAGUAGAAAAUCGAUGCUAAGGUUCUUGAAAGGAGAAUGAAUUUUGAGUAAUUGAGCAAAUAAAGAGAAACUGGAACUAAGAAAUAAAAUACUACUCCAUAAAACUUACCGAGAGCGAGAGAGCCGGUAAUGACUCCUGACUCUACUGUAUGUUUGGGGUGGUGUUGGAGUGGAAAUUGGGGAGAGAGUAUAAAUUGCAAAGGUAGGGGAAAUUGGAAAGGGAGUGGAAAUUGCAGAGGUAGUGGAAAUUAGGGGAUAUUGAAAGCUUGGAGGAAGAU
rnacentral:lncRNA from 1 species